AUCACCCGAUAGAUUAUUAAGUUAGAGUCCACCUAAUGGACUUUGGGUGGUUCAGAUUUGGGACAAACUGGUUUUCUUCAUGCCUUCCUAGCUUACUCCUCUGUAAAACAGGAAUAAAAAUAAGAAUACUUAGCUUGUAGAACUUGUGGUAGAUUAACAGUGACUGAAAAGUUUUUUUUUAAAAAAAAAUUUAUUUAUUAUUUAUACAAUUUUCCUCCUGCAUGUACAGCUCCUUGCCAGAAGAGGCCACCAGAUCUCAUUAGAGGUGGUUGUGAACCAUCAUGUGGUUGCUGGGAAUUGAACUCAGGACCUCUGGAAGAUCAGCCAGUGCUCUUAACCUCUGAGCCAUCUCUCCAGUCCCCCACUUCUGACAUUGACAGACAAAAUUCAUGGCUGUUUCUUAGAUCUUGGGUACAUGAAUAGUUCGACCGAUAGAGGACGGUAGAAGUGACAAUGUGUGCCACCUUCUGAGCCCAGGUCUCAAAAGACAGGCAGCCUCAACUUCUUUUUCCUUGGGAGGCUUUGUAAAGACAGCCAGAGAGCGCCAUGCUGGAGUCUGAGCAAACACAGUCUCUGCUGAGCAUAGUGCCGUGUUGACGCGCACACAAAGGAAGCCACCUGGGAGUCACCAACCAGCCUACCCACGAGCUAAAGUGCCGAUGUCCUUAUAGGAACCAAUGCCGCAGAGCGCAGAGUUUGAUCAAAUCUGUGUCUCACAGGAGCACGUGCUAUGAGGAUCGCGUUAAGUUGUUGGGAAGACAAUUGGAAGAGGAUGCUGUAGCUGGAAGUGGGCUGCCGGUCUAACGACGUCCGUCAAGCAUCACUUGGCUUUGCGACUGGGCCUAGGUUAAAGUGGGAAGAUCCCGACGAGCCUGCGAAUGACGUUAGGAGGCCACAGAUCACGUGACUGGUGAAACGUGGGAGGCUAGGGAAACCGGAAAGACGAGGAAAAUCGAUGUUGAUGUUUCAGUCACAUGGAAGACCGACAACAAAGUUUUGGAGAUGGGGUGCCACGAUGACCAGGCUGGCAUCAAAUUUUAUAUGUAGCGUAGCUGAGGUUGACCUGAUGACCUUUGAACUCCUGAUGACCCUGCUCCCGUGCCCAAGUGCUGGAAAUGCAGGGUGCACUGACUGUUCUUCCAGAGGACCCGGGUUCAAUUCCCGGCACCUACAUGGCAGCUCACACCUGUCUGUAACUCCAGUUCCAGGGGAUCUGGCAUCCUCACACGUGCAGGCAGCCCAGAAGUACAGGAACCCUGAUAUCUUCUUGUCUUUGGCUCUGCUGCUGGGUGCCUGACACACUGAGACACCAAGAACUACUUGUGCACUGAAUAAGUGGAUGGAUGAAGGUGUGGUCGGAUGCCUCGUUGAAAGCACUCGAGGAAAUAAGAGCUAAAGGCUCCGGAGUGCUCAGACCACAAACACUUGGGUUUCUGUAGGGAAGAAACAAGGAUGGACACAUUGUAGAGGUGAACCAGAACCUGACAGGAAAACCACGGCACAGACGCGACGGACGGAGAUGUGCCCGUGUGCUGAGAAGUAACUAAGGAUGGACACAAGGCCACUGUCCCAGCUCUCCAGCACGACAUGGGAAAGACCAGGAGGGCUCACGUCCACAGGGAAAACGAUGUAAUCAAACACUUCCUCCUAAUUUAUGCCCAUGGGCUUACAACCAUAAAUUCACUUUGGUCUUGUUUCACUAGCCGCCUUGAGAUGAACUCACUUCCCGAGUUCUCUGAAUGCACCCUCCGUAGCUCAUGGCUAGGGAUUGUUCUCAACGGGCCAAUACAUCACUGCAAUUUAUGUGUUGCAUCCUGGAACUAUAAUUAGGAUGGAGCAAGAAGCAGACUCUAAUUUGCAGUUUGAAAAGUGACUGGCAUCUAAACAGCGUAUGGCAUAUUUGGCUUAUAUCCCAUUGGCAAAAGGUAUCAGUAAGGAAGCAAAAGUUUACACACUUAAGUGUCCCAACUAAGAACAGUAGAAAAAAAAAAGUGCUCAAGAGUAAGGGAUUGCUAUACCCGGCACAUAGCCAAACAUUUCCCGUAGCCUCAGCGUACUGGAAGACCCCACAUUGUAUGUUCAAUGUGAACUUCAGCAAAUUAUUUACCAUCCCCAUGUCCCACUUUUUUUAUAUAUAGUCACAAAAAUAGUCACUCAUAGCUUUUUAUAGGCACUCAUAAUAGAAGGUAAGUCCUAGUGUUAUAAAGGUUAACUGAAGUAGUGGUUGUAAAGUCUAUGACACCAUACCAAAUGAUAGGAGAGUAUUUUAGGCAGUAGGUAUCAUUUGUAUAUUCAUUCAGUAUAAAUCUGUUAAGUCAUUCAGUAUAAAGCCAUUCGAUAUAAUGGAAAAUCUCAAUGACAAAUCUCUCUCUCUCUCUCUCUCUCUCUCUCUCUCUCUCUCUCACACACACACACACACACACACACACACACACACACACACGAUAUCCAGACACCUACUAGGAUGGAAGGAAACGCAGACAGCAGGAGUUUGACGGAAAAUGAUAAAUUACACAAGAAUUAAACAAGAAUUUGAGGGGCUGCAGUGACAGGCCAGCAGUUAAGAGCAAGGAUGAACCAAAAGACCCAGCCCAUCACUCACACAGGGGCUCACAACCAUCUGGAACUCUAGUUCCAAGAGCUCCAACUCCCUCUUCUGACCUCUGUGGGCCACAGAAGCAUACAUACAUGUUGUACAGAAAUACAGGCAGGCCAAACCCUCCUACAUAUAAAAUAAAAAAGAAUUUGAGGUAAAGAUGAUGGCAAGUACCUUUAAUUCCAGCACUCAAGAGGCAGACAGAUCUCUGUGGGUUUGCGAAUAGCCUGGUCUUCUAAUGAGUUCCAAAACCAGUCAGGGCUAUAAAGUGAGACCUUUCCUUGAAAAAAAAAAAAAAUGGAUAGACUCCUUCCACAUUAAUGGUGGGUAUAGAGGUAUAUUAUUUGUCUUUUAGUAAAUAAAGCUUGCCUGAAGAUCAGGGAACAAAGCAGCCAUACUAGUCAGCCGUACAGGUAAGGGAGUGGUGGUACACACCUUUAAUCCCAGUACUCGGAAGACAGAGGCAGAAGGAUCUCUGUGAGUUCAAGGCUACCCUGGGCCACACAAGAUUGAAUCUGUCUAAAGGAGAGACAAAGUUCACAGAAAGGUGAUCCCAGCACUUGGGAUCACAUGCUUUUAAUCCCGGCACUAGGCAGAUGGAGACAGGAGCAAUA